AAGCAGGAUUUAGACUAUAAUAAAUCUGUUAAGUGCUGUGUUGUCAUUCCUCCUGCUCAAAAUAAACUUGUUUCUUACCUAUACUAUACCUGUAAAAAAAAGGGGGGGGGGACAACAA
rnacentral:snoRNA from 1 species